UGGUGAAAAAAAUUUUGUUAGAAAUCAAUUCACUGGUAAUUUCCUGUUCUUGGCCUCUACGUUAACUUCCAUAUGUACUUCUUUUCAGGAGGAUGAGAAGGAUGAACACAGCUCACCUGAACUGACACCGUAUAUCAGUAAUCCCAUGUAUGAGUCUACAACUGCCCCUAGUGCCCCAGACCUCCCUGAAGAAAACAAAGAUGACAAGCACCAGGUUGUUGAUGGAGGUUCAUAUGACCUGCUCCAGAAUAGCUGAAAAGAUCACAGAUGCUCUUUAAGCUCAGGUCAUGUUCUGUCAAUGAUUUACUGGAUAAAUCAGACAGAAUCUGCAGUACAUUUGGAAACUGUGGAAAGCAGCACUAUGGUGGAUAAUAGUGAUGUCAUCAACUGAAAUGAUUGAUUGAUGAUUGUGUGUGUGUGUGCAUGUGUAUGCAUGUGUAUGCGUGUGUGUAUGCGUGUGUUUGUGUGCAGUUCAGAUUUGUGCAGUCUUUUAGACUUGUUUUUUUCUGUUACUACACGAGGAACAAAUAAACGAAUAAAAUCA